GUCAUUCCUGCCAACUACCCACUGAUCCAUUAAACAUUUAAUGUGGCCUUCCAUAUCUCUCCAUGCAGCAAGUGAAUUUGUAUUCCAUGAGAAGUCUCUCCAACUCCCCCAAUUCAUUGUGUACACAUGUCACCAUGAUUCAAAUUCAUUUUUGUUUAUGAGCCCGGUAUAAAUAGUGGCGUGCACAUACAUUUGUGCUCCUUUGAAUCUAAAUCCAGUCACUGAUUUUGACAAAAUUGUGAAUGAAUUACGACUUCAAUACAAAAGGAUUUGCAUUGAGUUUCAUGUUAGGGAUGUAAUGACGCUAGAAGGCCUACACAAGGAGCAGCAAGGAUGAUCUUUAAAGAUAAAAUAGGGUGUUGAAUAAGUGUUAGGGAAAAUGAGAUGUGUACAUGUAUCAUUGUAUUGUUGUUUCUUAUAAGUUAAAGCUGUUUCUUUUUUACUGGUAUUAAUUUUUUUUUUCACAUUGACAGAUUCAUAUUGUAGCAUUUUAGAAAGAGAAAAGAAAUAGGAUACUCAUAUCAUGAUUCUCAAUGGAAGAAAGAUAGUAGCAAUGACCAAAAAAUAGAAAGUUUAAGCCACUCCACAUUAUUAUUGUUGAGAUUCUGAAAUGGGAAAUUCUAUUGUUUAAUGGUAAAAAUGGGAAAUUCUUUGUAUAUAUCUCUAAACUUAAUACGUAUCUUUAAACUUAUAUAUAAAUAAUUAUUCUUCUGGAUUA